UACGUAGGUGGUAAGCGUUGUCCGGAAUUAUUGGGCGUAAAGCGCGCGCAGGCGGUCCUUUAAGUCUGAUGUGAAAGCCCACGGCUCAACCGUGGAGGGUCAUUGGAAACUGGGGGACUUGAGUGCAGAAGAGGAAAGCGGAAUUCCACGUGUAGCGGUGAAAUGCGUAGAGAUGUGGAGGAACACCAGUGGCGAAGGCGGCUUUCUGGUCUGUAACUGACGCUAAGGCGCGAAAGCGUGGGGAGCAAACAGG
rnacentral:rRNA from 1 species